rnacentral:rRNA from 1 species
UACGGAGGGUGCGAGCGUUGUCCGGAAUCAUUGGGCGUAAAGGGCGCGUAGGUGGCCCGGUCAGCGUGCGGUGAAAGCUCGGGGCUCAACCCCGAGUCGGCCGUGCGAACUGCUGGGCUGGAGCACUGUAGAGGCAGGCGGAAUUCCGGGUGUAGCGGUGGAAUGCGUAGAGAUCCGGAAGGACACCGGUGGCGAAGGCGGCCUGCUGGGCAGUGGCUGACACUGAGGCGCGACAGCGUGGGGAGCAAACAGG